rnacentral:rRNA from 1 species
CUGGCUCAGGAUGAACGCUAGCUACAGGCUUAACACAUGCAAGUCGAGGGGCAGCAUGGUCUUAGCUUGCUAAGGCUGAUGGCGACCGGCGCACGGGUGAGUAACGCGUAUCCAACCUUCCCCUUAGUAGGGCAUAGCCCGGCGAAAGUCGGAUUAACACCCUAUGUUUUUCCGUUGCGGGCAUCUAAUAUGGAACAAAGAUUUAUCGCUAAGGGAUGGGGAUGCGUCUGAUUAGGUAGUAGGCGGGGUAACGGCCCACCUAGCCUUCGAUCAGUAGGGGUUCUGAGAGGAAGGUCCCCCACAUUGGAACUGAGACACGGUCCAAACUCCUACGGGAGGCAGCAGUGAGGAAUAUUGGUCAAUGGCCGAGAGGCUGAACCAGCCAAGUAGCGUGCAGGACGACGGCCCUAUGGGUUGUAAACUGCUUUUAUGCGGGGAUAAAGUCGCCCACGUGUGGGUGUUUGCAGGUACCGCAUGAAUAAGGACCGGCUAAUUCCGUGCCAGCCGCCGC